CCAAACCUUCAUCCUAACCUUAACCAUAUAGCAAGUACAUGUAGUAGUCUACUUAACUGUGUAAUUACAUUGUAACAUUACAAAUAUUAAAAUAAUAUUUACAGGUACUACUUUUGAUCUUAAUAAUGUAUUUAGAAAUUUACACUAAAUAGGGUUUAGGCUUUUCUCAUUGUUAGUUCAUGUUAAUUAAAAAGAAAACGUUACCAAAAUGCCUUUAUAUUUUCUAUAACGGCACUCUUAUUGGUAGGACGACGAGGAUGUUUGCAAACAAAUUGUUUGUAAUUUGAUCUGUAUUUUUUUUCUUUAUUUAUAUAUUUGAUACAUAUGCAAGGUCAGGUCGAAACAACUUAAUAUUCAUGAGCUGAGACGGGCAGGUCGUGACAUCACUACGGCCCUUUCCAAUUCAAAGCCUUUCUCGGCACUGCUGGCUGAAAGUAGGCUUUAUCAAAUUAGCCAAACAAUAAUAAAAUGCGGGGAUGUGUAAUAUUUGGGAAGCUUGGAUUUCUCGUAUAUUUGUAGAGCUCGCAGAUUCUGUGUGGGCCUGAUAACAGCGCGUUCUCUAAUCAUCACAGGACUGAAAAUAUGUGGAAAUGAUUAAAUAACACUGUUUUAGCCGACUUUGUUACUCGGGCUAGGUUAGAUUACACGCAGUUUGCUUAAAGGCUGAACAGCCAUCUCUGGAGCACUGGGGAGAUUUUUCAGCUCUUUACGACUCCGUCCAGAAAGAGAGUACUGGGAGCAACAAGGCAUUACUCUCGCACGCGCGCACGCCAGCGAGGGCCAUUUACUUACCAACUAAGGAGAUCCUUGAGUGCUAAGCUGUAAAUUUGGUUAAUUUAGCACGAUUCCACAGAGAAUUGGUCGGGUUUCUUGCGGGGGAAAGCCCAGCAGGCUCGCUGCGAAUGAGCGGAGAUGGUUGAUGUGGUCCUUAGCGCCUUGAUGACGGCAGGAACACGCGGUUGACAGCGCGCGCCGGAGCCAUAAAACAGAGCUGCCACGCAGGGGCACAAUGCGCGGCAAUAUGAAUAUUGCUCAAACUUAAUGCAAUUAGCUUGUAUUGAAGAAAGAUGAAAAUGUUCAAUACUUAGAGAAAAUGGUGUAUACAGAUGGAGACGUGGCCCUAUGAAAUCACACGUCCAGCCAGGCAAUCAACGCUGAAAAACAUCACGCAAAUGCAAGCGAUAAAUCGCGGUGUUUCACAUUGUCACAGUGUGUGCGCGCACUGCUUCUUGUGAUUGGGAGCACCUGCACACAGUGCAGCGGGCAUAUAUAGCCUAUUAAGGAUACAAACCAGACCAUUUUCAAAUUGAACCUUAUUGAAUGAAAGAAGAGAGGGAGGGAGAAAUAAAAGCCAGCUACCAAUUUCGUCCAUUUAACUGACUCUUAAAUCAGACUUGAUUGAAAGGGAACAAAGAGAAUUAGAAAAAGCAGCUCUUUUGAUGAACCACACAGGAUAUGAUGACAUUCAGCAGCUCUCCACAGCUCUGCUCUGACACUAAAGCCACCAGCAAUGCAUGUUUGCAUGAUGGCCAUAAGGACAUGACAGAAUCUCCCAGUGCAUCCUUGUGAACCGGGUCAAGAUCACUCUUGCACCUGGCAUUGUAAUGCGGAUGCUGCACACUGGUGGUGGUUGAGGAGAGACCCCCCCCAUGUGAUUGUACAACAACACACAAAGCGCCAUAUAAAUGCAUCCAUCCAUCCAUUGUAAUGAGCCUUUUUUGCAACUUUCAUUCCAUGGAAUAUUGUGGCACAUACACUUUUUGGGCUUUAUCAUGCAUUGUGAGUUUUUUGUAGUUUUCCUCAUAGUUGACUCUGAAGUUUGACAUCAUGAUUUUUAAAGCCAAAUUAACCUUGUUACUUAAAGUCUAGAUAAGAGGGCUUCCAAAGUGUGUGCCCAAGGCUCUCGCAGCACAAUGACAGAAACCAGAUUCUGUGUUUUGCAGGGUGAAGCGCAACAUCGCACGCAGCUGACUCCAUCAGCAUAGAGCGCGAGUGUCCCGUGGUGCGUGCUACCAUCUGUCCAUCAGCAGAUUCCCUUUGAGUGUAGGAUACCCAGUGGUGUUCUAGAGGUCUGGACCCACAUUAGCACAACAUCAAACAGGCUCCCUCCUACACAUGCAGCUCUGCAUGCGCUCCUGCUUAUCUUAUCUGAGACGGAAGGAGGAAGUCACCCCUCUGGUCCAUCCCUGUAGAAUUAGGCUUGACCUUUCUCAUGCAAAGCUGAGAGAACUUGGAGAGGUUUUCUGCCCCGGCGACUGGGAUUGUGUCCAGGGAUACUGCUUUAAUGGGGCACCUGCUGUGCUAUUGUUAAAAAUAAAGAUAGGUAUGACUGGCAUCGGCUGAUAUCUUUAAUAUGGAAUGUGUUCUAAUUCCAUUUUUAUGACAGCACUGUAGUGAUGAAAGUUAUGUUUAAGGGUGUUAAAAGUGUCCUUUAGUUUUGCUAAUAGCACAUAUAGCACACUUUCAAACGCAUGGUUUCCAAAACCAGGGUUCACAACCCCCUAGUGCUACAUGAUGAAAUUACAAAGAAACUGAGAUUAAAUUGCAAUAAAUUAUAAAAAAUAAAUAAUGAUAUACAUAUAAUUCUACACACUUGAACAGUAUACAGCAUGCUAAUGCGUGUGUGUGUGCGUGCGUGUAUAUAUAUAUAUAUAUAUAUAUAUAUAAGUAGUCAACAUCUGAAGUGGUUCAAAAUGGUUCUUCAAAGUUGUCCUAGGACAAGACACAUU